rnacentral:tRNA from 1 species
GCGCCUGUAGCUCAGUUGGACAGAGCACCGACCUUCUAAGUCGGCGGUCGCAGGUUCGACUCCUGCCAGGCGCGCCA